UAAAAACCCACCUUGUCCUGUUGGCCAAAAAAUAUAUACUCCCUCCGUCUCGAAAUAUAAGAAAAAAAAAAGUUUUCACACUUAUUAAGAAACUCUAAAUUUUACCAAAACAAACAAUUGAGUUUCCUAUAUUACCCUUGUUAUAAUUACUUCUUGUUAAUGGAAAAAAUAAGCUUUUUGAAUUUUUAAAUGAUGAAAGUUAAAAAGUCAUAUUGAAAUAAGCUAACUACCCAAAAGUUUGUUGGGAAACUAAACAAUGGUGAAUUAUGACUAAUUGUAAUUUUGUAACUUUAGGAUUAAAAAAAUUGUCUUUUGCUUAUACUUUGGGACAUCAAAAAGAUUUUUUUUUGUUUAUAUUACGUGACGGAGGGAGUAUAUACCUUGUGCUAAGGGGUAUAUCCUUUCAAAAAAAAACUUCAAUUGCAAAGUGGGAUUGAAUUAGGGUAUAUCCAAACAUUAGUUAAUUAUAUUUUUUUUGUUACAAACAUUAGUUAAAUUACGGGGUCCCAUUCAACUCAUGGACAUGGUGACUUUUUAAAUGGAUUAAUGGGUGGAGUAUUAUUUUUCAAGUUUAACUUCAAUGGUUCUUUAAAUAGCUUGACCUAUUGCAUUGAGAUGUAUCAUAACCACAUAUACAUUCUUAGGAGACAAAAUAAAAGUCAGAAAUAAUGGAGAGAAAAAUGCUUUUCGGCAUGCACUUUUUUCUCAUUUUUCUCAUUGUUGUCUUAACAGCUCAAGAAGCGGUGAUGCAGAUUGAGGCAUGUGAGAUAAGAUUGCUUAGGUACAAAUUAGCAUGCAAUAAUAUAAUAGAUAGCCUUUUUUGUAAGAUUGUGUGCAUUGAGGAGAAUGAACUUAUAUCCGGUGGUUCCUGCAUAAAUGGAAAAUGCAUUUGCUGUGCCUAAUGUAUCCAUGAAAACAAAUUCUAAUUUGAUUAUUAAUUUUUCCAUUGGUGAGAAUGAAUUUUGUUGUUUGCUAUA